AUCUAUUGUCAUACCAUUCUGAACACACCCGAUUUCAUCUUGGAAACUAAGCAGGGUUAGGUCUGGUUAGUACUUGGAUGGGAGACCCCUGUGAGGAGGAAGAAAAAGAAAUG
rnacentral:rRNA from 1 species